rnacentral:rRNA from 1 species
UACAGAGGUCUCAAGCGUUGUUCGGAUUCAUUGGGCGUAAAGGGUGCGUAGGCGGCGCGGUAAGUCGGGUGUGAAAUCUCGGAGCUUAACUCCGAAACUGCAUUCGAUACUGCCGUGCUUGAGGACUGGAGAGGAGACUGGAAUUUACGGUGUAGCGGUGAAAUGCGUAGAUAUCGUAAGGAAGACCAGUGGCGAAGGCGGGUCUCUGGACA